rnacentral:lncRNA from 1 species
CUCACAUACAUGUUUCCCCGAAUAAAAUCCUGCAUGUUUCAUCCCACCUUGGCACCUUCUCCUCAGAAAAUCCAGACUGACACACUUUCCCCUCUUCCCUAUUUAUGUUUCCUAGAAUCACCUUCUCAAAGAAACAACCUGCACUGGAAUCUCGCUGUCAGCGUUUAUUUCUAGGGAAGCCAGGCUAACACAGAGGGCAGGACAGAAAAACUGCACACACCACUUGCACUCAUCCCUCCUGGGGCUGAAUCUGGUCACAGGGCCACACUGAACAAGGGAGGCGGGCCACACAGUGAUCUGUGAUGGGCCAUGCAAGGGGGCCCUGCUGACAGUGUGGCUACUCCUCCUUACUCAGCCUUUCAAGAUCUGUUCAAAUACCUGCAAGGUCAAGGUUCUGGAGCAGGAUGUAGAGAGAUAGAGUCCUUUGACAAGUCUGUGCAGGUAUAAAUUAAUCAAAAUCGACCCAAAUUUAACUUUAUAUCAUAAUUACUACUGUCUGCCCCCAGGCAAAGUAAAGUGUGUAAAACUCAUCCCCUGGACAUAGCCCACCCCUGGAACCAUGGCCCCUUCUUUCCCUUCCAAAUUCCCUCCAGAGUUCCAGCUGCCCAGAGCCCCUAUUAUGAUGCCCACCCCCGUUGCCCCAGGCAUUGACUCACCAACCCAAGUUCCUCUUCCUUGCCUUAAAACACACCUGUCCCAUUCCCCAAGGCUUUGCGCACUAACAAUGUGACAGCCUGGUGUGCAGUUGCCACAUGUCUGGAGUGGCUGCCGUGUGACAGCGUGGGCCCUGAUUUUACGGACGGCAUUCAGACAGAAAGUGUGUGUCCUGAGCUGAGAGCUUUACCACGGAGCGACUCUGCGCUUCCUACAGGAGGCUGCACAGGCCACAGAGGUACCGGAGGUGACUUGGGGUGGAACGUGAAUCCUAAUACAGUACCAAAGUCAGAGGUGUCUGAGGAAGUUCACUCUUUGGCAGACUCUAAUAUCACAGCAGCAAAGUACUGCAGGAUGGGUGAGCCCAGUGUCCUAAUAAAACUGUAUUUAUUAAAACAGGCAGACAGCCUUGAGGCCAUACUUUGA